rfam:Triticum urartu cultivar G1812 contig965457, whole genome shotgun sequence.
GUAAUACUCCCUCCGUCCGGAAAUACUUGUCAUCAAAAUGGAUAAAAAAAAUGUAUCUAGACGUAUUUUAGUUUUAGAUACAUCUCUUUUUAUCCAUUUUGAUGACAAGUAUUUUCGGAUGGAGGGAGUAAUAC